UCUUCUAUUCCUGAACCCUGUCUAGUGAAUUCAGUGAGUGAACUAGAGCCCAGUUAACAAAAUGCCACUUCAAGGACUGCAGCACGACAUUUACAACGGUGAGACAUAAAUGUACCAAGCAUUACAAGGAACAACAUGAGCAGGGGAGAAGAAAGGACAUAUCAACAGAGAGCCUUACACAUAUGCGCUGGAGACACAGCAUUGCAGUCUGCACAAGUCUGAAUCUUUUGUGCUUGUGCAGUAUUUUUUGCACAUGUUCUCUGGAUACAGUUGCAGCAGUGUUAAGGAUGUAACAUGAACUGAUUUCUUUUGGAUCCUGUAGAUUCUGCAGGCAUUUCAAUAUCUUAAGACAGAACAGCUGCAGGAUGUCAAGGACAAGGAUGUGGCUCUGCCACUGAAGAAGCCUAGCAGCAACCGGAGCUUGACUGGUUCGAGAAAUUUGG